rnacentral:sRNA from 1 species
CCCAAGCCCUGAUGGAAACGGCAUCCUUUUGUGUCCCGUUUUUUCAACGAGACACAAAAGAUAUAGUGGACAGCAGGACACGAG